CGCCUCUGUUCAGCCCGCUUACACCCGCAACCAGGAAGAGCUUCUACCCUCCACUGUUCAAAAGCCACUCCCCCAGUGUGAGGAGGGUGUUCAGUACGCCAGCAUCCAGUUCCGCCCCUCCAGUGCUGCCCCCAGGUCACCUGCACCAUCUGUAAAGGAAGACUGUGUUCUCUACAGCACACUUCAAAAACUGGACAAGUGAAAAUAAACCAGGAAGAUAUCUUGCUUCAUAAACUGGAGAAUUGAGCUUUAUAUAUAAUUCGAUUUUUAAAUUUUUUUUAUUAAUACUUGUAUAACAUUUACAUUAUUAUGACAUUCUUGUGCACAUUUUGUGAUUAUAUUAUGCUUAUUACUGAACUGAUCCCAUCAAGAGUAUAAAUUCACAUAAGGUGAAUUUGUUUUUCACAUUCUUAGUGUUUAUUUUUUGUAUUGCUAAACGUUAGAAUUCAUAGCAUACCUUGAAUUUUUUUAACAAUCAUUUAAUGAAACAAGCAAAAUGAACCUAUGCUUGAACAAUUUUGUAAGUAAACCGUGUACUGUAGGUGUUACCCCCUGGGUUCUGCUGAUGGAAUAGAACAUGUGCAGGAAAAGCACUAAACAGGUACUUU